rnacentral:rRNA from 1 species
AUGAACGCUGGCGGCGUGCCUUAAGCAUGCAAGUCGAACGGUCCCGCCGCAAGGCGGGGCAGUGGCGGACGGGUGAGUAUAAGCAAGGAACGUACCCUAAACUAUCGCAUAGCUCGUCGAAAGACGGGGUAAUUCGGUAUGUGAUCGCAAGAUUAAAGUGAAUAACAUCACGGUUUAGGAGCGGCCUUGUGCCUAUCAGCUAGUUGGCGGGGUAAAAGCCCACCAAGGCUACGACGGGUAGGGGGUGUGAGAGCACGACCCCCCACAAUGGCACUGAGACACGGGCCAUACGACUACGGUCGGCAGCAACUGGGAAUAUUCGGCAAUGGACGAAAGUCUGACCGAGCGACGCCGCGUGAGGGAUGAAGUCUUUCGGGAUGUAAACCUCUUUUAUAUAGCCGUCGAGGCUAUAAGAAUAAGCACCUACAAACUACGU